rnacentral:rRNA from 1 species
GGGGGAUGACGUCAAGUCCUCAUGGCCCUUAUGACCAGGGCUACACACGUGCUACAAUGGCCGGUACAAAGGGCAGCGAUACCGCGAGGUGGAGCAAAUCCCAGAAAGCCGGUCUCAGUUCGGAUUGGAGUCUGCAACUCGACUCCAUGAAGUCGGAAUCGCUAGUAAUCGCGGAUCAGCAUGCCGCGGUCGAAUACGUUCCCGGGCCUU